rnacentral:rRNA from 1 species
GCGUGAGUGAUGAAGGCCCUAGGGUUGUAAAACUCUUUCGGCGGGGACGAUAAUGACGGUACCCGCAGAAGAAGCUCCGGCUAACUUCGUGCCAGCAGCCGCGGUAAUACGAAGGGGGCUAGCGUUGUUCGGAAUUACUGGGCGUAAAGCGCGCGCAGGCGGUCCUGCAAGUCAGGGGUGAAAGCCCAGGGCUCAACCCUGGAAUUGCCUUUGAGACUGUGGGACUUGGGUACGGGAGAGGUGAGUGGAAUUCCGAGUGUAGAGGUGAAAUUCGU